rnacentral:rRNA from 1 species
GACGAACGCUGGCGGCGUGCUUAACACAUGCAAGUCGAACGGAAAGGCCCGGAGUCUUUGGGUUGUUCGACUGGCGAACGGGUGUGUAACACGCGAGUAACCUGCCCUUGACUUUGGGAUAACUUCAGGAAACUGGGGCUAACACCGGAUAGGAGCUCCCGCUGCAUGGUGGGGGUUGGAAAGUUUCGGCGGUGGGGGAUGGACUGGCGGCUUAUCAGCUUGUUGGUGGGGUAGUGGCUUACCAAGGCUUUGACGGGUAGCCGGCCUGAGAGGGUGACUGGCCCCCUCGGGAAUGAGAAACGGCCCAGACUCAUCAGGGAGCAAGCAGUGGGGAAUAUUGCAUGAUGGGCGGAAGCCUGAUGCAGCAAUGCAGGGUGUGGGAUGCCGGUCUUCGGGUUGUAAGCCGCUUUUGCCUGUGGUGAGGAGUGUGUGAGGGUAAUGGGUAGAGAGGCACGGGCUAACUACGUG